rnacentral:rRNA from 1 species
UACGGGGGGGGCAAGCGUUGUUCGGAAUUACUGGGCGUAAAGGGUUUGUAGGUGGCCCGCUAAGUCACACGUGAAAUCCCUCAGCUUAACUGGGGAACUGCGUGUGAGACUGGCAGGCUUGAGUGCAGGAGAGGAACGCGGAAUUCCAGGUGUAGCGGUGAAAUGCGUAGAUAUCUGGAGGAAUACCGGUGGCGAAGGCGGCAUCCUGGACCAUUACUGACGCUGAGGCGCGAAAGCGUGGGGAGCAAACAGG